rnacentral:misc_RNA from 1 species
GCAUGAAACUCUUGAUAAAAAGAGUGCCGAAAGACUCGAGCAUAAGCCACCAGAUAAUAUGAAACUAUAGCAGCAGGUCUCCGUUUUAUUUAAAAGUAAGCAAGAGAGCCUGCAUCUGUUAUCCAGAUUCAGUUGGGAGGAGGGAAGAAGAUCUCAUCUGAGGUCCUCUUCGACCUGAAGAGCUUCUCCAUGUCUGGGGUGGUGUUGAAGGCAGCCACCAAUACUUCCGGAGAGAUUGCCUUCCACACUGAAGUCUUUCCCGCCAGAUGACUGAAUAUGGGGUUGGGGGUGGUGAUGAUAGAAAACCACUCCAUCCCGGUGGAGUCAGCAAUCUUAGACACAACGAAGAAUCUGGGGACGAUAAAAAGAUAGCCACCUUUCACUGUGGUCUCAAGAACCCGCUUGCCAUCGAUACCAACAACCUGAACCCUGCCACUCCCCCUUACAAUGUAAGUGACCUGGAAAGCAGAGUCACAUGAGAAGCCUGGAGAGCACAUGGCACCACCAUCCAGCCUCACCAAGUCAGCCCCAAGGCCAACCUCCCCAACAAGGGGGAGAUUCUUGGUAUUGAGCACCACAACACGUCCCCCCUGCUUGAUGUCAACAUCCAGAGGCGCUUCCUCACAGUUCAGGGCCAUUCCCUCUCGGUCCUUGGGAUUGGGCUCAGGCAUGCCGAGGCCUUCCUUGAGCUUGAUAAUGCCAGAACUGCUCUGGCUUCCGACAAGAUUCUUAGCUUCAUCCUCCUUGAGGUCCCAGGCACGGCCGACAAACUCAGUGGAGAAUCCAGUAAAGAUGCCACUGGAACCAGUGACCUGGAAGUUAGUGAACUGGCCACAUUUGUGAGCCUUUGAGGUCUCACCGAGAAAGAGGACCACAAGUUCGGAAUCAUUGGGGUUGUACCACCAGGUUAGAACACCAAAGGGGAGGGCUAGAGCAUCACCCUUCUUGAUGGCCACCACCUUCUCUUUAGUGGCCUCUGGGAGCACAAUCCCACAUGUUCCACUUCCUUGGAGGACGUAGGCGACCUUGCUGCAGUCGGAGUAGGCCGGGAGGGCGAGUCCGCGCUUUUCGAGGAUGAGCUUGGCGGCGCCGAUGCCCGCCUGGCGAAGCAUGGGAAGCUCAUCGGGGCACCACGCGAGGUAGGAGCCGCCGUCGCACUCGAUCGACUUCUUUGGAAGCUUGGGGGAGAGAUCGAUUUCCAUCGCCGCCGGUGAUCGGAGAAUCAGAGAAAUGGGGAUUCAAGGGAAAGUGA